UGAUAACUGCAAUUCAGGCAGGGGUGGAGCUGGUCUGUUCGCAAUGGCAUUUGUCAAUGAUAUUCAUAAUAAGAUCUAAGUCUACAUUUGAUAAAAUCAUUUGGAUGAAUAACAAAGAGUUUGCAUCAACUGAACAAAUAAUCACCAGGACAAAGUAGCUCAAAUCAUCAAUGCCUGGAUGAGGCACCAAAUAACAGUCAAGAAGCACAAUUUCUACCAAGGAUUACCGGUUAAGAAUGGCAGCCGAUUUAGCCCACAGAAAGAGUAUGACAAAGAGGAGGAGAAGAACACUAGAGACCAGUGAUAGCAAUGUAUAACCAGACUUCUCAAACACCACCCAAGCAGCUAAAGCUACUAACAGUAUCCCCAUUGUCACAUCUUUCUGCCUCCACAAGAUCACAUCUGCAACUGUAUCAUCCAAAAAAGCAAGGCUCAUCAGACCCAUAAAAUCCUAACUCCAAAGCAACCGGACCACAAUUCUGCAUUGGAUCAAAGACCAAGGUCUACAUUUACUAAGCUCAACUUUGAAGUAACUCCAAUAUUGAAUGACAAAUUUAAUAGCAAUAUGAAGAUGUUAAGAACAUAAAAGAGCAGAAUCCAUGACCAAAAUAGUGAUACGGAUUCACCAAAAAAGAUGAAAGUGACUCACCAAGACCUCCUCCAAGGAUCUCAUGAAGGGUUCUUUGCCGGCGAAACAAUCUUUCCGGUGAACCCAUUUGAACACAAAACCCAAAAACACAAUCUGAAUCCAAUCCAGAUCUCCAAGAGCCAAAAAGGAUGUAGCUUUGGGGAAUUCAGAUGAUUCCACAGUAAAAGAGAAACAAUGGG